rnacentral:lncRNA from 1 species
GGAAGCCUCCUGCCCUGGUAAACUUGAUGCUGAAUUAGAGGAACAAACAGGAAAAUUGACCUGACCAAGGUGCGUCAGCAAGAGUAAAGACUGAAACUCAGAAUCCCUUCUGGGCUCUUCCUUCCAUGCAGCACCAGCAGCACUGGUGGAGAAGGGCAGAGCUGAUGGGGACUUAGACUCUGACCUCUUGACGCCUUGUUGCAGAGCUCCACAGAGGACGUAACUCACAUGCUGUCCUGGCCUGCUGCUUGGGGACCCUACAGGUCACUGCUGUUUUAGGUCUACUCCAAGUGUGGUUCUGAAUCAGCCUCAUCAGCACCACCUGGGAGCUUGUUAGAAAUGCAAAUCCAUGGGACCUGCUUCAGACCUAAUAGAGUGAGAACCUCUGGGGGUGGAGGCUAGCUCCUCAAACGCUGCUGAUUCUCAGUAAAAUUUGGGAAGCAUUUUAAUUAAAGAAUUCUCUGGCCAGAUUGGUUGAUGGACUCAUUAAAUAUUUAAAUUUUUCAGCCUUUUGGUGGAUCUUGGUACUUCCUAGUUGAUGUUACUAGUGUAUCAUUAUGUACUAUCUUGUAAUAUUGUAGGGCAGUUUAACAAAAUUGUUAAGAUGGUGAAAUUGUGAGAUGGUGAC